GAUGAAGAACGUAGCGAAAUGCGAUAAGUAGUGUGAAUUGCAGAAUUCAGUGAAUCAUCGAAUCUUUGAACGCACAUUGCGCCCUUUGGUAUUCCAAAGGGCAUGCCUGUUCGAGCGUCAUUUGUACCCUCAAGCUUUGCUUGGUGUUGGGCGUCUUGUCUCUAGCUUUGCUGGAGACUCGCCUUAAAGUAAUUGGCAGCCGGCCUACUGGUUUCGGAGCGCAGCACAAGUCGCACUCUCUAUCAGCAAAGGUCUAGCAUCCAUUAAGCCUUUCUUUCAACUUUUGACCUCGGAUCAGGUAGGGAUACCCGCUGAACUUAAGCAUAUCAAUAAGCGGAGGA
rnacentral:misc_RNA from 1 species